rnacentral:rRNA from 1 species
CAUCGCCGAACAGCUAGCCCCCUAAACUAACAACAACAUAAUAAAUAUAUAUAACCCCUAAUACACUAAAAUUCUAAAAACAAACCAUUUUUCCCCCUUAGUAUGGGCGACAGAAAAGGACAA